rnacentral:lncRNA from 1 species
GGCUGGAGUGCAGUGGUGCAAUCUCGGCUUACUGCAGCCUCAACCUCCCGAGUUCAAGUGAGCUGGGAUUACAGGCACCUGCCAUCGUGCCCGGCUAAUUUUUGUAUUUUUGUAGAGAUAGGGUUUCACCAUGUUGGUCAGGCUGGUCUGGAACUCCUGACCUCAGGUGAUCUGUCUGCCUCAGCCUCCCAAAGUGCUGGGAUGACAGGUGUGAGCCACCGUACCCUGCUGACUGUGAUCUAUUUUAUGCUAAUGAAAAAACUACUGGUUGAUUUCACAGCCUGCUAAGCAGUUGUGACCGACAGUACAGAAAACCCUGGUGCGGAGAUUACAAUGCGGAAUCCUUGGGUCCCUGGAGGGCUUUAAGCAAGGGAAUAACAUGGACAUCAUAGGGGUGAUGAAGGGGAGAGGGCUAGAUGGGGGCUGAGAAGAAGCCAGAACUGACUCUAGGGAAGAGAACUUCUUUGCCUUUACCCCUUGACAGAAGCAGGGGAGAUGGAGAUUGUUUGAGCCGGGAAUUCAAGGCUGCAGUGAGUUGUGAGAUGGAGAGAUGUGGUCAGACGCUAACACCAGAAAGCAGCUAUCUCAGUGCUUUGCACAAAAAGACAAAGAUAUUGUGAAACAUGCAGCCGAAACAGUAGGAAACGUCACAGAGGUGUGUCAGGCAGAAGAUUAAUAAAAACAUUACGUUAUCCUUUGGGAUUUUGCAAUCUUUGUGGUAUUUGGCUCUUAAUUUGUUAUCAUUUCAUAUUCUAAGUAAACUUUGUCAGUUUUUGUUUUAAACGUAUUUUUCUUUCUUAAAGAGGUCCCUCCUCCUUCAUACCCGCGCUCAAUUCCUUUGGCUGGAUCCUUCCAAUUCAUGACCGAUUGGUUUAAAAUAUGGGUCGUUCAAAAGCUGUGUGAUCCCGAGCUAGUGGCUAUACCCCUCAAAGCCUGUUUCCUUAGUGGUAAAAUGGAAAUCAUAAUAACUUUGAAGUGAUGUUAUAAAGUUUAAAGAAGCCAAGGUCCGCAAAAUGCUUAGUGCAGGUUUGGAAUGCACCGAGAGAUGACAAAUCUCAACCUGUCUUUAUGCUGACACCACUCCCC